UACGUAGGGGGCAAGCGUUGUCCGGAUUUAUUGGGCGUAAAGCGCGCGUAGGCGGCAAGGUAUGUCGUGCGUGAAAUCUCCCGGCUUAACUGGGAGGGGCCGUGCGAAACUGCCUGGCUUGAGGUCGGAAGGGGAAAGUGGAAUUCCGGGUGUAGUGGUGGAAUACGUAGAGUAUCCGGAGGAACACCAGCGGCGAAGGCGGCUUUCUGGUCCGAGUUCUGACGCUG
rnacentral:rRNA from 1 species